rnacentral:precursor_RNA from 1 species
ACACAUUCUAGAGGAGAGGCCACCUCCAAGGCUUCAAUCUAUCUUACUCUCUUUCUCUCUGCUGUCUAGGAGGAGAGUUUGCUUUCCAAACAAGUCAAUUCUGCCUUCUUUUCACUACUCACCUUGAAACUGUAAGAUAAAAAAAAAAAAUACUAGAAAUAUCGCUUUGAAAGAAGCUCUGACAAAACACUCACAUCCUAACAACCAAGUUGUGCCACUGUCUGUGACAUGUCUAAAGACUUUCUAACUAGAGUAACGUUUGGCAUCAGCCCAGGACAUAUGAACAGUAAUUUUACUGUUCAGGGGCCCCAUGAACAGUAAAAUUACUGUUCAUGUGUCCUGGGCUGAUGCACUGUAGCAUCAGCCCAAGAUGUUGUUUACAUUUACUCUUCUAACUAAUACUUCAACAGCCCCCCUUCAAACUUCGGAAUUUAGUACAAAUCCUUAGCACCCAGCGUAGGGAGCCCCUGCUCUUGCAAACUUUGCUUCUAAUUUUUUGGAGUUUUUGGACAUUUUCACUUCAUUAUAUCUCUCUUUUUCCUGCCAGCCAAGAAACUUUUUUUUUUUGUAAUUAUCAGCCAAGAAACUUAAAUAAACAUUUUAACGCUCAAGAUGAUGUAACACCCAAAUCUUAUUGGUUGGGAAGAUGGAUAAAAAAGUAAUUUUUCCAAUAUAUUCUUUCAAAAGCAGAAAAGCCCUUGAGAGAAAAAUACAGAGUAGCCACAGAACUUAUGGUUGGGUCAAAUCACACAGAUGGAUUGAUGGGGAACACACAGUCCAUCCGCUUCUUGGCUCAAACGAACGGCUGUCCAUACGGGCAGGAAGAUGGAUGGUAGUGAUUGCUGAUGGUGAUUGCACAGUGGUAAUUGGCUGUCCUAUGAUGACCCAUCUCCAUCAGUAGAAUGCUGACUCACAUUAUUAUCUCAUCACCAUUUCCAGUUCCUUUUAGCAGUUAAUGAGCUUAUCAAUUGGAUGGAAAUCAAAGAAACAAGCUUGAUUAAAGUGGAAAAACGGACCACAGUCAUAGACCCUACUAUUGGAAGAACCAUUAGGGACUUCAGAAAAUAACUAAUAGCUCUCUGCAACUUUGACUGGACGCCAGACAGUUUAGUUAUAUUUGCACAUGCGUACUUGUGCUUUACUUUUUUCCAAGCGUAGUGCAUACAAUACAAACUCUCACUUUAUAUUCUUAUUCCCAUACCUUUCUUUUUCUUUUUUCUUUUUUUUUUUCUUAAAAAAAAAACGUAGUUUUUAAAACUAUCAUUUAAUUUAUGAUUAAUUAUUAAUGAAAUUUUGAUUCAAUAGUAAUUUUAAAAAUUAUUAGAAUAUAUACAAACAUUACUCUUUUUGCAACAUCUAGUCUUUCUAGAUAUAUUAUUUGUUGUAUUAGUAUCUAUUAAGUUGCUAUCUAAAUUAUUAGUAAUUUGAAUAGUAAAUUAUGAGAAAUUUUGUGUAAAACUUACAUAUUUAAAUAAAUUUUGAGCUACCUAACCACAUAUUCAGAAAUGUAGGUUUCGUAUGAGAUAUCUCACAAAUGAUUCCCAAAUUGCCAACAAAGUGCUGGAGAUUGCAAUCCCUCCUCGCUAGUCCAAGUUUGGAGUGAGAAUUCAGGGGCUCGUAAUUUGAGUUAAGAGGAUAAAGCCCAAAUCAUGAGUUAUGACUAGACUACGAAGGCCAACGCGAGAAAGCAUACCAAACUUAUAAAAUAAGGCCCGAUCACGUGAAGGGAUUCAAGAUAGUUUGACCAACCAUGUUAGUAUAGUGGUUACAUGGAGAAUGUUGGGAAUUAGGAUUAUGAUACAGAGAAUAACUGCUAUAUGAUGUUACGAGAAUAGAAUUUUAUGCGAAGCAGAUAUUAAUAUUAGAAUAUAUAAUAUGGUAGAGUAUUUUCCUUAGGUUAGAAUAUAUGUUAUUAUAAGAUACUUACCUUAUAGAAUAAUUACCAUUUAGAGGAUUGAUUGUAAUUGAUGGUAAUCAAAUUAUUAAUACCGUAUUUAUUUUUAUUUCCACUUUUAUCAGUUAUAAUCUUUUCUAUUUAAGUGUAAUGGAAAAAGGCUCAAUUUUUGUGAAGAUUCGGUGGUCAACAAUUCAAAAAAAUAAAAAAGUACGAAGAAGAGAAUGUCAUGUUUGUUAAGUGUUACUAAUUUGCAAAUGCAAUUUCAAGAGCAAGAUUAUUUCAAAAAUCAGAAAUUUUUAGGACCUUGAGGGCAAGGUCCAUUUCAAGGGAAAAGGAAUAUUACAAUAAUAGAAUUUUAUGCGGAGCAGAUAUUAAUAUUAGAAUAUAUAAUAUGGUAGAGUAUUUUCCUUAGGUUAGAAUAUAUGUUAUUAUAGGAUACUUACCUUAUAGAAUAAUUAUCAUUUAGAGGAUUGAUUGUAAUUGAUGGUAAUCAAUAAUUUGAUUACCGUAUUUAUUUUUAUUUCCACUUUUAUCGGUUGUAAUAUUUUCUAUUUAAGUGUAAUGGAACAAUGAGAAAGGAAUCAGAAAAUUAUUUCAAACCUUGUGUUUGAAAAAGUUUAAGUUCUCUUUAACGAUUCUAAAGGAUUUAGAUUUCCUCGAAACCUAACAAUCUAUCAUAUUACCCGUUAUGAAAUUAUUUUCAUAACACAUGAUUUCAUCCCUGCUACCCAUGUGAUUUCAAGCAAAAAAUCUUGCUGCGUCCAUAACCUCCGGUAAGCAUAGCAUCUGACACGACACCUAAUUAUCGCCAUAUCCUACUAGCGAGCAAAUAAUUCAACACCAUGUCUAUUCAAGGCCUUACUCCAUUGAGUCAUGCUAGGCAUUCGUCUGUGACGAACGCCUAGCGUCCGUUUUUUAUGAAAAAAAA